GCCCCCCUCUCCUGUCCCGCUCCGCCGCUGGGCGCAGCUGACCUACUUUUUCUGCAUUUCUCCCCACACUGCCCCGACGCCUCCCACGCGUGGGACUCGAGGGUUUUUAACCCUUGGGAGCGCAGCGCGGCUCCGCGGUGCCGGCCGGGAGCCGCGGGGAUGCGCCGGGCGCGGAGCGCGGGGAUGCUCGGGAUGGGCUGCCCGGCUGCCUGUGCCCGCAGCACCCCCCGCCGGGCGGCGUGCGGACACGCACCAGCCGCGCUGGACCGCCGCUUCUGUCAGCUCGCCUAUUGCCCUACGCUUCCCCGGGACUGCUGCGACUCGGCUCCCCCUGAUUCUCCACUAUUUCUCCCACCUACGAACCUUUAACAAAACAAAUAAUAACCGUAAUGAAAUAUGAAGCACCUAGAAUUCACAGAAAUGGCGCUGUUUACAGUUCUGCACCAUGCAGCCCCACCUCCCUGCAAGGGACAGGACAUCAAAGCGUUUUGGAGAGGCUCUGCCCUUUGCGGCUCAUGCUCUGGCACCUGGUGUGGGAAAGGCUGUAUGAUUAUGGUGACAAAACACGUCUGACACAGCAUACGCUGAGCACUGGCUUGGUGUGAAGAGCACAUUGUUAACCCAGAGAAUCUGUGGUGUAGAGAGUAAAAACGAUGUUGAAUGAGUGCCACCAAGUGUCUUCUUGAAGAAUAUGAAAGUCCAAGUCUUUAGUGGGAGCAAAAACCAGACUGCACUACCAUUAAGUUCUUUAAUUUUGAGUGAGACAUCACAGAGAAUCAUCAUCACAGUGAAUUCUGUUAGAGUGAGAGGAGUUGCGAUUAUUAUUCCACUUAAGUGCAAGAGCAGACUCUGGAUAAACGUGAAUAUAUGUAGUAGAGGCAGAAAAAAAGAUGAUGCUGGGUAUCCUUCCUGUCUGUCUCUCUGUUCCAUUUUGCUUAUCUUCUGAGUGAGUGCUCAGCGUUGACGCUGGACUGACUGUGUCUGUGCUGUGCUGUGUCAGAUGACGGUAUGAUACACCUUAUCUUUAGCUGGUGUGUGUCACAGGACUUCCUAACAGGCAACAUAUGUUACAGAUCUGGCUGUUAACUCAGUUUUGGCCCUUCUUCUACUAUUGAUCCCAGUGCUGACCAUAUUAAUAGCUGCCAUGGCGGCAAGACUGAGACUUGUGUGUAUGAAUGUCAGAGAUUCAACAGAAGAAAAAAGCUAGGUGUUGUCAAAUAUCCUCCAAGACGGUUUCAUCCUGAAUUCCUGUUCCUGAAGAUUAAAAGUUCCUGAAGGAUCUUUAGAUUUGCUGUUAAUACACAAGAGUGAUUCUAAAGAAGGAAGAUUUGUAUCAGUCUUACAACUUUCUGAACUUUUUUGAUUCAAGAGAUAGAUACCCAAGCGUGUUGAAGCUCCUGCUGCAUUUCUCUAUGCUGUAUGUUGGGGCAAAAGAGUGAUGCCAAAAAGCCAUUUCACGUUCCACACAAGAAUAGCUGCUCCUUGUCAUGCUGGAGUUCAUUGCCUGAAAUUCCAGGCUGCAGCCAGAAAGCACGUCCAAAGCAGCUACACAAAGAGUUGUGGUGGGCGGCAAACUUAGUAUCUCUCCUCAGAAAUGUGAAGUGCCUUUUGUUAUUGUUAAACAGCAGAAGGGGAGUAGACUAGGACAAGGGUUUAGCCAAAGAGACUGUUUAUUGCAGGGUUUUGGUAAUGUACUUAUUUGGACAGAAAUAGUUUAUGUCGUGAAAUGUGCUGAAGCCUGCAUACAGAAAUUGAAUUUUUUUUCCUGGAAUAUAUUUAUUUAUAGAUAAACUGAUCAGUCUGUAGUACAUGGCACCCAUUAAACUUGGAGGAGUGCCAGGGAGCAAAGUGAGCACCAUAUAUUUUGGGGACUCUGGGCAGUGAGCAGGCACAGAGUCCCUGUUUAAUCAGCAGUCCAUUGUAUGUCUCAGGGCUUUCCACAGAAGUUAAUGGGUGAACAGACUUCUGCUGGCACAAUUUUUCCAAUGUAGCACUCUUUGUUCUGCUGUGUUUUAUUAUUUCACUAUAAAUUAACUUAGAAGAGUCAGGUUUACCAUUGUCUGAGCAUGCUGUGAAAAAACUCACCUUUGAAACUGUAUAUUACUCUUCUUUGUGUGAUGAAGGAUGGAACUGCAAAGUACAGUGACAGGCACCAACAUAUUGUCCUUGAAUUAUUUGGAAGGACUUCCACUAUUUGUAUGGGUGGUGUAUAUUUUGUGGUACCUAUUGUGCCCAAAGGGGGCAACUCUCAAGGGAUUUGCUCUCACUACAUGUAAAAUUCGUGCUGUUGAUUUGGUACUCACCAGUAUGCAAGGUUAUCUAGGCACCACUGUGUGGUGUGCUGGAUAACUAGACUGCCCUCUGUGUGUUGGUAGGCAAAACUAAGUGCUAGAUGUAUACAAACAAGGUGAGGAGUACCUUUGGAGGCUCAGAUAAAUCUCUAAGCUUUUGUUUCAUCAAAAUUAACUUUCUAUAACAGAUUGUUAAGUAAUUAGUUGUCCUUUUCCUCUUGUGCCCUUCCCAAGCACAAUAGACAAAGUUAUCAGUAUUCUUGCCAGUAAUUCACCUAUUAUCUCAGUUUAAAAGUAUUUCAUUGUUUCAUGGACAGUUUUUAAUAUACUGGAGAAUGUUCCUGUCAGGCUGUGAUAUCUGGGCAUGAUCUCACCAUUCAUUCAAGAGGAAAAAGAAAAGCUUCUUCUCUGAAAUUGCCAACCUUACUACAGCUUUAAAAGCACUCUUUGGGGAGCUGAAUAAAAGCAAACUAAAAUGUGUUGCUAAGGAACAAAUCCAGAUGCUUCCAGAACUUACCAAAAAAAAAAAAA